AUUGAACGCUGGCGGCAUGCCUAAUACAUGCAAGUCGAGCGGACGGACGCGACGCUUUCUUCUCUGGUGUUAGCGGCGGGCGGGUGAGUAACGCGUGGAUACCCUACCUAUAAGACUGUGCUAACUUCGGGAAACCGGAGCUCAUACCGGCUAAUAUUUUGAACCGCAUGGUUCAAAAGUGCGCGCCGUUCUUGCGGUCACUUAUAGAUGGAUCCGCGCUGCAUUAGCUAGUUGGUAAGGUAACGGCUUACCAAGGCAACGAUGCAUAGCUGACCUGAGAGGGUGAUCAGCCACACUGGAACUGAGACACGGUCCAGACUCCUACGGGAGGCAGCAGUAGGGAAUCUUCCGCAAUGGGCGAAAGCCUGACGCAGCAACGCCGCGUGAGUGAUGAAGGCCUUCGGAUCGUAAACUUCUUUUAUUCGGGAAGAAACGAUGUGGAAUAAACUGUGCACAUCUUGACGGUACCGAAACAGAAAGCAACGGCUAACUACGUG
rnacentral:rRNA from 1 species